AGUAACGGCGAGUGAAGCGGCAACAGCUCAAAUUUGAAAUCUGGCGUCUUUGGCGUCCGAGUUGUAAUUUGCAGAGGGCGCUUUGGCAUUGGCAGCGGUCCAAGUUCCUUGGAACAGGACGUCACAGAGGGUGAGAAUCCCGUACGUGGUCGCUAGCCUUUACCGUGUAAAGCCCCUUCGACGAGUCGAGUUGUUUGGGAAUGCAGCUCUAAAUGGGAGGUAAAUUUCUUCUAAAGCUAAAUACUGGCCAGAGACCGAUAGCGCACAAGUAGAGUGAUCGAAAGAUGAAAAGCACUUUGGAAAGAGAGUUAAAAAGCACGUGAAAUUGUUGAAAGGGAAGCGCUUGCAGCCAGACUUGCCUGUAGUUGCUCAUCCGGGUUUCUACCCGGUGCACUCUUCUAUAGGCAGGCCAGCAUCAGUUUGGGCGGUUGGAUAAAGGUCUCUGUCAUGUACCUCCUUUCGGGGAGAACUUAUAGGGGAGACGACAUGCAACCAGCCUGGACUGAGGUCCGCGCAUCUGCUAGGAUGCUGGCGUAAUGGCUGUAAGCGGCCCGUCUUGAAACACGGACCAAGGAGUCUAACAUCUAUGCGAGUGUUUGGGUGUCAAGCCCGAGCGCGUAAUGAAAGUGAACGGAGGUGGGAACCUUUCGGGGUGCACCAUCGACCGAUCCUGAUGUCUUCGGAUGGAUUUGAGUAAGAGCAUAGCUGUUGGGACCCGAAAGAUGGUGAACUAUGCUUGAAUAGGGUGAAGCCAGAGGAAACUCUGGUGGAGGCUCGCAGCGGUUCUGACGUGCAAAUCGAUCGUCAAAUUUGGGCAUAGGGGCGAAAGACUA
rnacentral:rRNA from 1 species